UCGAUGCUCCCCGGUGUAGUUCGUGAGGACGAGAAGGCCAGCCGUGGAAUCUACGCCCCGGCGGAACCAGUCGACGCCAGCGAUGAGAAACACAGCCCCGUCCAGGCGUCAGAGAGUGUGAUGGUGCUUCUUGGUUGUCAGCUUGACUACAUCUGGAAUUAACUAAAACCGCAAAAUGGAGGGCACACCUGUGAAGGAUUUCUGCUUAAUUUGAAGAUGGAAGAUCUACUUGUAAUCUGAAUCUUUGAGGAUUAAAGGCUUGCUUCCUGGGAUUAAAGGCGUGAGUC